GUCAGAUUUACGGCCCGGCAUUCAAUUUAGGUGCAAACUUGUGAAAGUCCACAAUGUUAAAUUUAUUUAUUUAUGCGGUAUACUAAACAAUAGGAUCAGAGAAAAACUUGUUUAUGCCGCUUUGAAAGGAACCCAAGUCCAUGUGGUUUUCUUCCCAGAAAAUCUAGGAGGAGAUGUAGAAGAAGGUAUCAAAGCUUCAGGAACGAGCAGGAUCAAAUAACACAAUUAAAGGUUCAUGGUCUCUUCAGCCAAUUGGUUUUAUUCCUACAAAAUGUAAGAGGUGAUGAAGAAGAUGGUGAAAGGUCUCUUCAUUGACACAUGAAUAAGAUAUAAAGAAGAAGAUCAAAG